UCACCGCCUGUCACGAUACAUAAAUUCAAUAUCACCUUAGUAGAACAGCUUCAUGAACGACGUGACCUUCAAACAUACCCAUUGAAUGUGUUUUACAAAAAGUCAUAAAAGUACAAUGACACUGGUAACACGAAUAGGAGAUAUUCCAUACAUUUAUGGAUAGAGAUAAAAUCAUCAUGGAGCAUCCAAUAACAAUCAAAUACCUAACACAGUUUAACAGUAUUGGGUUCCUGUGCCAACGUUACUGUUCACAAAUACUGUGAACUGUCACUGAACAAACAAUUCAACGUAUCACAUUUGAGAUGUUUCUGAGAAGAUUAUUUCAUAUACUAUAGACUAUUAUACACUUUAAGGAGUAAAGCUGAAAUAUAUGAAAUAAAAACAUAGUGAACUUAAUUACCGAAAGCAUAGA